GGGAUGGAGCAGUCUGGUAGCUCGUCGGGCUCAUAACCCGAAGGUCGUCGGUUCAAAUCCGGCUCCC
rnacentral:tRNA from 1 species